rnacentral:ncRNA from 1 species
CUGACGGCCGCGUUCGGGUCAAUUGCGAACUGCAACACCCGGUCUCGCUGCUCGUGCCUCCGUCGAUGGAGGUCGAGGAGGGGACGCGCGUCGCCAUCAG